GACGAACGCUGGCGGCGUGCUUAACACAUGCAAGUCGAGCGGUAAGGCCCUUUCGGGGGUACACGAGCGGCGAACGGGUGAGUAACACGUGGGUGACCUGCCCUCAGCUCUGGGAUAAGCCUGGGAAACCGGGUCUAAUACUGGAUAUGACUCCAUGACGCAUGUUGUGGGGUGGAAAGCCUUGUGCGGCUGAGGAUGGGCCCGCGGCCUAUCAGCUUGUUGGUGGGGUGAUGGCCUACCAAGGCGACGACGGGUAGCCGGCCUGAGAGGGCAACCGGCCACACUGGGACUGAGACACGGCCCAGACUCCUACGGGAGGCAGCAGUGGGGAAUCUUGCGCAAUGGGCGAAAGCCUGACGCAGCGACGCCGCGUGAGGGAUGACGGCCU
rnacentral:rRNA from 1 species